GAUGAACGCUGGCGGCGUGCCUAACACAUGCAAGUCGAGCGACCGGACGAGAAGCUCGUUUCUCUGCUGUUAGCGGCGGACGGGCGAGUAACACGUGCAUAACCUACCUCUAAGACUGGGAUAAUUUCGUGAAAACGGAGACAAUACCGGAUAAUACUUUGAACCGCAUGGAUCAAAAGUGAUUGACAGCCUUCCUGUUACUUAUAGAUGGAUCCGCGCUGGAUUAGCUAGUUGGUAAGGUAACGGCUCACCAAGGCAACGAUGCAUAGCCGAGCUGAGAGGGUGAUCGGCCACACUGGAACUGAGACACGGUCCAGACUCCUACGGGAGGCAGCAGUGGGGAAUCUUCGACAAUGGGCGAAAGCCUGACGGAGCAACGCCGCGUGAGUGAUGAAGGUCUUCGGAUCGUAAAACUCUUUUAUUAGGAAAGAACAGAUGUGUAAGUAACUGUGCACAUCUUGACGGUACCUAAUCAGAAAGCCACGGCUAACUACGUG
rnacentral:rRNA from 1 species